UGGGGCCUCCUCGAGGGUGCACGGGGGUCUCUUGUGAGGUGUGGGGCCCCCUUGAGGUGAAUGAGGGACUCCUAUGAGGGAUGGGCUCCUCCCUUGAGGUGCAUGGGAGACUCCUGUGGGGGUUGGGACUCCCUUGGGAUGAAUGGGGAUCUCCUGUGAAGGAUGGUGUCCCCCUGAGGUGCAUGGAGGUCUCCUGUGAGGAUUGGGGCCCUCUUGGGGUGAAUGAGGAACUCAUGUAACAGUUGAGGUUCCCUUGAGGUGCAUGGGGGUCACCUGUGAGGGUUGGGGCUUCCUUGAGUUGAAGGGGGGGUUUCCUGUGAGUUUGGGGCUCCCUUGGGAUAAAUGGGGGUCUCCUGUGAAGGAUGGGCUUCCCUGGAGGUGCAUGG